GGCUCCUUAGUUUAGGGGCAAAAUACAAUCUUCGGGCUAUUUGUGCUACUUUCUAGUACACAAGCCGAUCAAUUGGUUGAGGCCCGGGUUCGAGUCCCGGAGGAGCCC